GACGAACGCUGGCGGCGUGCCUAAUACAUGCAAGUCGAACGAAGCUGUUUUAACUGGUGCUUGCACCGACUUAAACAACUGAGUGGCGAACGGGUGAGUAACACGUGGGUAACCUGCCCCAAAGCGGGGGAUAACAUUUGGAAACAGAUGCUAAUACCGCAUAACCACAGAAACCACAUGGUUUCUGUGUCAAAGAUGGUUUCGGCUAUCACUUUGGGAUGGACCCGCGGCGUAUUAGCUAGUUGGUAAGGUAAUGGCUUACCAAGGCAAUGAUACGUAGCCGAACUGAGAGGUUGAUCGGCCACACUGGGACUGAGACACGGCCCAGACUCCUACGGGAGGCAGCAGUGGGGAAUCUUGCGCAAUGCGCGAAAGCGUGACGCAGCAACGCCGCGUGAGGGAAGAAGGCCUUCGGGUUGUAAACCUCUUUCAGGAGGGACGAAGGUUCAGGCGCGAAUAGCGUCCUGAACUGACGGUACCUCCAGAAGAAGCCCCGGCUAACUACGUGCCAGCCGCCGCCGUAA
rnacentral:rRNA from 1 species